rnacentral:tRNA from 1 species
GCGGGCCUGGCCGACUGGUUUAGGCAUCAGCCUUCCAACCUGAUCACAUGGGUUCGAUUCCCAUGACCCGCUCCA